rnacentral:misc_RNA from 1 species
UACAAACUACCAUUGACCAGUUGCAUGGUUCUGAACUGGACCUAAACCACUCCCCCACCUCCCAGGCUUGGUUCUUCCUUGGUGUGAACUGGCCAGGAUCCACCAGUCUAGUCUAGGCCAGACCAGAAAAUUUAAAGAAAAGAAUUUAAGGAAAUUAAAUAAACAAGGAAAAUGUUUUUGUUAACUGUCGCAAGGGUUUUGCGGUUGCCGG